UACGGGGGGGAGCAAGCGUUGUUCGGAUUUACUGGCGUAAAGGGCGCGUAGGCGGUCAGCACAAGUCAGUUGUGAAAUCUCCGGGCUUAACCCGGAAAGGUCAACUGAUACUGUGCGACUAGAGUGCGGAAGGGGCAACUGGAAUUCUCGGUGUAGCGGUGAAAUGCGUAGAUAUCGAGAGGAACACCUGCGGCGAAGGCGGGUUGCUGGGCCGACACUGACGCUGAUGCGCGAAAGCCAGGGGAGCGAACGGG
rnacentral:rRNA from 1 species